rnacentral:rRNA from 1 species
GAUGAACGCUGGCGGCGUGCCUAAUACAUGCAAGUCGAGCGAACAGAUGAGGAGCUUGCUCCUCUGACGUUAGCGGCGGACGGGUGAGUAACACGUGGAUAACCUACCUAUAAGACUGGGAUAACUUCGGGAAACCGGAGCUAAUACCGGAUAAUAUAUUGAACCGCAUGGUUCAAUAGUGAAAGACGGUUUUGCUGUCACUUCUAGAUGGAUCCGCGCCGCAUUAGCUAGUUGGUAAGGUAACGGCUUACCAAGGCAACGAUGCGUAGCCGACCUGAGAGAGUGAUCGGCCACACUGGAACUGAGACACGGUCCAGACUCCUACGGGAGGCAGCAGUAGGGAAUCUUACGCAAUGGGCGAAAGCCUGACGGAGCAACGCCGCGUGAGUGAUGAAGGUCUUCGGAUCGUAAAACUCUGUUAUUAGGGAAGAACAAAUGUGUAAGUAACUAUGCACGUCUUGACGGUACCUAAUCAGAAAGCCACGGCUAACUACGUG